AACGGCAGCGCGGGAGCUUGCUCCUGGCGGCGAGUGGCGCACGGGUGAGUAAUGCAUCGGAACGUGUCUUCUUGUGGGGGAUAACUGUCCGAAAGGACAGCUAAUACCGCAUAAGACCUGAGGGUGAAAGCAGGGGAUCGCAAGACCUUGCGCAGGAAGAGCGGCCGAUGUCCGAUUAGCUAGUUGGCGGGGUAAAGGCCCACCAAGGCGACGAUCGGUAGCUGGUCUGAGAGGACGACCAGCCACACUGGGACUGAGACACGGCCCAGACUCCUACGGGAGGCAGCAGUGGGGAAUUUUGGACAAUGGGGGGAACCCUGAUCCAGCC
rnacentral:rRNA from 1 species